rnacentral:rRNA from 1 species
AGAGAUGCACUGGGCUUAAAGCGUGCGCAGGCGGUUUUGUAGGACAGAGGUGAAAUCCCCGGGCUCAACCUGGGAACUGCCUUUGUGACUGCAAGGCUGGAGUGCGGCAGAGGGGGAUGGAAUUCCGCGUGUAGCAGUGAAAUGCGUAGAUAUGCGGAGGAACACCGAUGGCGAAGGCAAUCCCCUGGGCCUGCACUGACGCUCAUGCACGAAAGCGUGGGGAGCAAACA